AUCGGUGGCACCGGCGCCGGCUUCCUUGGGAAGCUUCUUUCCGGCCUUUGGCUUUUUCUCGGCAGGGGAUUUUUCAGCUACGGCGGCUUUCUUCUCCUCCGCUGGCUUCUUCUCGGCUGGCUUCUUCUCUGCUUUGGGCGCCAUUGAAGGGAUUUUGUUUUGUAAAGAGGGAAUUUGAUGUUUAAAGAGAAAGAGAGAGAUGGUUGAAACGUGAGAUGAUGAAAAUGAAGGAAGAAUUUGUUGUGUUUAUAUGAGGAUUGAGAGGCGUUGUCUGAUUGGUUGAUUUUAGAUGUCCCGGAUUGUGCAUAGAGACCGUUGAUAUGUUCUGGUCCAUGGUUUUGCUUCAAGGGACGUGAUUUAAUUUGAGAAGUGAGUUUUUGUUGGCUUGACGCACGACGCGGAUCAACAUUUUGGCCCAUAUCCUAUUUUUCUUUAAUUUUUUUUAGGAAAUUACAAUAUAUUUAUUUAUACUGUAUUAUAAAAUAAAUUUGCUUUUUUAAAAUAGAUUAAAUAUAUCCAUACCCGACCCUUUUAAAUAAAGGGUUAGCGGAUACGGGUCGUUAACGGGUAAACGGAUCAAAUAAAAAAUUAUGCUCCAAACUCGUAUAAUUGAUAAGGGUUUGGAUUGAAUCAGGAUCAAAAUCCGCUCCGUUGUCAGACCUAUGUGUUUGACUUGUCGGAUGGUCAAGGCCAACCACCAGAGGUCGCAUGGCAAGCUGCAGUCAUUGGAGGUUCUCAUGUGGAAAUGGAAACAUAUCACUAUGGAUUUCAUCACCAAGUUACCUCGAACGGCUAAUGGAUUCGACGCGAUAUGGUUUAUCGUUGACCGUGUGACCAAUAGCACUCGCUUUUUGUCCAUUCGAGAAAGUUUUGCGGCCGAAAAAAUAGUCGGUUUGUAUGUGCGCGAUAUUGUUGCUUGACAUGGUAUUCUAGUCUCCAUUGUAUCUGAUCGAGAUGUUCGGUUCACAUCUCGUUUUUGGAAGAAGUUCCACCAUGAACUGGGUACGCGAUUGCAUCUUAGCAUUGAGUAUCAUCCGCAAACUGAUCGAGAUGUUCGGUUCACAAUAAUCCAGUCAUACAUAACCUACAUAUUAGAACCAAAAUUGAUUAAUACAAUAAAUUUCAAUAGAUCGCUCAAGCUAACAAUCGAAACAACAAAGAAACAAAACAUAAUAGAUUAUGAUGACACCAACGAAUGUUGCACCAUACUAAACUGAAGAACUGAUAACUGAAACCCCCAAUUUGGGAAAUCCAUAUGUCUCAUACCGUCCAUCCAAAAACUGCCAAGCCAAAGGUGCCACAUCCAAAACCGCACUAUCUGCUCCUAACGGACAAGCAGAAUCAACAUGUUCUGGCUGACUGCAAAAUAAACAUACAUUCGACUUCCCCGACUAUAAUCGCGAUUAAAAUGACCCUCAUGAUCGCGCCUAAAACAUGCAGAAACAAAAACGCAUCAAAUAUCCCAAUGAAUCUGACCACACUCCCCAUACAACCUGUGGGUCUCUCGAUCUCCUGCCCGAAAGCCCGCCACCCCAGCCUUUUUGGUUGUCGUUGCAAAUGCAUGAACUUGAUCCUGCUUUCUCUUCUGUUGCUGAAUCUCCAACUACAACUCUCUCUCCCAGGCCGCCUCCACCAAACUAGAGAGAGUCUUAUGACUCGAGAUACACACACGUUCCCAAAUUGAGAUUUUAAUCAUCUUUAGUCAAGGAUAAGAAAUUAUAGUUUAUUUCAAUUCUAAAAGCUUAGAUUGAGAUUUUAAUCAUCUUUAGUCAAGGAUAUAUAUAUAUAUANNNNNNNNNNNNNNNNNNNNNNNNNNNNNNNNNNNNNNNNNNNNNNNNNNNNNNNNNNAUGAAUUUUAUGUUAGAAUGGCUCAACAUAAGGAAAUUCCAUAAAUAUUACGUUCUCAAAAUUCGAUUAUGAUUACGGCAUCCCUCUUCAUAGUCAAAUUAUGAAAACAUGGAAAAUAAAAAAAAAUAUUGUAGCAGAAGACUGGUCUAGGAUCAUGUCUUCAUGUGAGACAUCAUGAAUCGUGCCCCAUAUGCUUCGGAUAUAGGAUCGAUUACAUGUGCUAUAAUAUUUAUACCUUCUAAAUUUUCCAAAUGCCUAUGGCAUUAAGAGGGGCAAAGGUCUAGAAUUGGAUAUGACUAAAAUGAUUAAGCAAUUGUUGAGGAUAAUCUGAGGUUUACCAGAGAUUGGUUGCUCAUGGACAGUUGGAAGUAUGGUGUUAAAUUUUGGAGAGGAACCAUAUUGACAUGUUCUGAAAAGAGGCGACUCUUGUUUAGAAGUGAUAGUCAAAACGGGAAUAUGGAAAUGUUUUUCCAUAUUGGGAGUUGGAUAUUAAGAAACUAUGAGAAAGUUAGAAACUUUAAUUAAAGAAGGAUGUUCAAAGGAAUGUACUUUGAACUUGAGAUUUCGUCACCUUGGAAUUGUCGUGUAACAAUUUCCAGUUGAAUCUAUUGUAAUAGUGUUGGUCAAGUCUUUGUGACUCUUGGUGCCUAGACAUUACAUAACAAUAUUGCAUAAUAGUGUAUAAUCUAACACAUUUGAGCAGUGAUAAGAGUUUGGAAUUCUUACACUUACAAUAAAGAUUUGGUAUUGUGAAAUGAGCAUCAUUGGAAUCAUGUUCAAUUGAUAUAUUUCACAAAGUAAGGAUCGUAGACAAACAUAGUGUGCAUACUUGGAGUAUGGCAUAACUAUCGUUUACGAAAACAUGGUGUACAUGCUUGGAGCAUGGGACAACUGUUGUUUUAAUUCAAGUAUUAAGUUGAUUAUUUGAAACAUUAUGCAAUGAAUAAUGUGUAAUCAAUAUGGUGAUAAAUAAAAGGUGUUCUAUUUAUAUUCAUAAGUUUUGAGACCACAUUAGAUUCGAUUAUUCUUAUGUUUCCCUUUCAAUGUUUUGACUUCCAUAAUAGUUGGGUUAUUCUUUCCGGAUGACCAAGUUAUUUAAAUCCUCCACAGUCAGUCAUAUGUUGGAAGUAGGUAUGAAUCAAGAUUGUAAUGAAUUGGGCUUGUAGAUGUCUAAGAUGUUAGACAUAGUAAAAGUUGCUACAACAUUCAUGAGUGCUCAUAAGUUAUGAGUAUUGUAUUAAACCCACAAUCACUUGUAUCACUUCAUAGAAUUUAUCUCAAGUGACUGUAAGACGGUAAUAUCAUAUAAGUCUUCAAAACUAGAGAUACAAGUUGUUGCUUAUGAGUUGGUUGUACAUUGAUUGCGCGAAAACACAUCAUUAACUUGAUGUUAUAAAAUGUGUCUUUUGUAUAAAUAAACAAGUAGUAGAGCAAACAUAUGAGUCGAAGUUUAUCUGUUCCUUUUAGUCCUUGGAGGAUUAGAAGCGAUAUAUGGGCCCCUCGAUGAUUUUGUUUUGACCUAUGUAUCGGGCCCGGUCAGAACCAAAUUGAUGUGUUCAGUUUAGGUCUAUGUCAAACAAAUCGGAAAUCAGGAAACAAACUGCUGGACAAUAAGUAUGACGUUGUUCCAUGUAUUUGUCCGGCUGAUAUCUAGAACAGAGGAUUAUAUGAUCACUUAUCUAAAACGGCGCUUCGUAGUUCAAGAAAGUUUUAAGAGCUACGAUUCAUGGUCGGAUCCUGAAGUCAUGCUUGCAACCGUAGUUAUUAAAUUUAUCCAAGUGGGAGACUGUUGGAUAAAGUGUCUAAGUCCAUAACUAUAUUUGAGAUGUACUUGACCGACCCAACAUGGUCCAUUUGGGUUGCACUUCACCAUAACAAUUUGGAUAGUCUUUUGAGAAUAGUAUAGUUAUGAUUUGUUAAUAUAUUAUAAGUUAUAAUAUAUUAAUAUGAAAUCAUAUUAUUUAAUUAGUAUUGAUCUAUAAUUAAUUUGGAAUUAAUCUAGUGAUCAAAAGGUAACUAAUUAAAUAUGGACUCUUAUAUUUAUAUAAAGUGGGUUAAUGCUUGUUUAGAAUGGGUUAAGCUUGCUUGGAAAGUCCAUGGAUAGUCCAUGGAGCUUUAACCCAUGGAUCUUAUGGAAAUGAAAGGUCAUGGGUAUUAGGGUUUACAUGGAUGUAACCCUAAUCCACCACACUAUAUAAAUAGGUCCUUGGCACAUGAAAUGACACUAGUGUAACGCCCGUGUUUCUGGGCUUGCCAUUUUUAGCAAUGUAAUAGUCUAGUUAACCUUUGUAACCUAAUUUGAAAUAAUAAGAACAUAUCAUUUGAGUAUUAUGUGUUUCGUGCUUAAUUGCUUAAUUAUGUGAUAUGAUGAAUUAAGAAUAAAAUGAGCGUCAGAAUUUAAGUGUAAAAUAAACUUGAUAUCAUUGGAUAAUGUUGUAGUAGUUGAAACGAGGUUUCCGAAUAUAUAUAGAACUCCCAAAUCUGACUUCGUAUGAGGAAGUUAUGAUUUUCUGAAGUUUCGAUUGGGCAGUAUGCAGCUUGAAUACUCGAUUUGAGAUCGAGCGGUUUUUAGCCGAAACAAUCUAAACGAGAAUCGAAGAUCUCGUUGUUAGUAGCGAAACGAUGAAAAGUUAGGCAAGAACGGACGUCGGACGAAGAAGUUAUGAAUUUAUAACAAAGUUUUUCUGUCCCGGCCUACUAAAAAUAAAUAAUAAAAAUAAAGUCAAAAUUAGCCGACGGAGUCUAAACAAAAGUUGUAGAGCGUAGUCUCACCUACGCGUGGAUAUAAAGAACGUCGAAAAUGGAGUUCGUAUGAGGGAGAUAUGAAUUUUCAAAGUUUAUUAGAUAUUUAAUAUUUAAUUUUAAUUCAAACUUCCGAUAUUAUCCGAAGAGGAGUCAGCGGACUCAUCCGAAGUACGCCCAGCGUGACGAAGUCUAGCACUCGAGUACCUCCGAUGAUGCAGGCAAUGACGAUUUGGCAGUACGCCCCGCGUACCCCGAAGUUAUGCCCAGCGUAACCCCGAGGAUCAACCCUAUAAAAGGGGAUGCGAAGCCAGCUUCUUUCCUUUUCAAAUUUCUUCAUUUUUCUCUCAUCUUUUGCCUCGUUUUGCGUGUCGUUUAUGUUGGGUUUUGAGCAUUCUAACACUCCUAAGUGUACAUGCAACCCUAAAUACCUUGGAUCUAUGUUUUAUCUAUUAUACAUGCAAAUAUGAACAUCCAAGGUAUUAUCCUAAUCUAAGCUAUAAAACAUUGAAUAUAACAAGAUAGAAUACAUACCUAUUUGAUGUAGAAUGUCUUCAUGAAGCUUGAGUGCCUAGUGCCCCAAGUGUGACACCUCAAAUGGUUCACACAACACCGAAUACAAAUGGAAUGACUUGAGAGAACUUCACACUUCAUGAAAAUCGGCUAGCCCUUUCUUGCUCUCACUAGUGGCCGGUUUUGUCAAGAAUAAGAUAUUUAUAUAGAGUUACAAUUAGGGUAAACCCUAAUUGUCAUGACUUUCCAUUUCCUUGGAUCCAUGGGUACAAAUACACCAUGGAGCAUCCAUGGACCAUCCUAUGGGUUUUAGCCCAACUUGAUUAUCCAUGGAGCAUUAGCCCACUAUACAAGUAUGGAUGAUUUACACAAUCAACCCAUAUAUUUAAUUAGUCUUCUUUUGAUCACUUAAUUAAUCCUAGAUUAAUUCUUGAUCAAUACUAAUUAAAUAAUCUUAUUAUUCUUAUUAUUAAUAUACUAGAACUUAUAAUAUAUUAAUAACCAUAAGUGUAUUAUUUCUCCCAUUAUAGUCUAUCCAAGUGCAUGAUGCCAUGCAACCCAAAUGGACCAUGCCGGGUUGGCUCAAGUCUUACCAAUUAUAGUUAUGGACUUAGACAUUAAUCCAACAAUUUAUACCCCGAAGCCCCGAUAAUAUUCCCGAGCCCCGAAGCAAGAUCCGAAGCCCUGAGAAUCCCAAAGAGCGUUAUUCCCGAGCCGAAGCCCUGCCCGCGAGGAGCCCGGUUUUUGUGAAGAUCUUCCAGAUCUACGGAGAAACAUUACUUCUGCAAGCCGUAGUGCUGCCCGUUCAUCUUCUGAUCAAGUGAGUGUGUAGUCAUUUUCUUCCAUCACAAUAUUAUGAAGUAUUUUAUAUAAAAUACGUGCUACGUGUAUAUAUUUUGUUGUUAUAUGUGUGAAUGUAUAUUCACUUUCUUCUAUCUCAUAGAUCUGAUUUAUUAUCUAUGAAAUACGUGUUAUGUGUGUAUGCUUCAUCUGUUAUGUGGAAUAUGUAUUGAUUAAAGCAUGUUAUACAGGUUCUUAAACUAUGUAUAAAAAUGUAUAUUUUUAUCUACUAAUGUGUUGGGUAGAACAUGGGUAGAUAGUUGGUGUGUAAUAAACAGAUGAGAGGCCUCGAUGUUGUUGGUGUUAUUCUAGUCAUUCAGUAGAGUAUGGAUGACGAUCACGGACUAUUCUAGACUGUCCUGUGGAACACUAGCAGACUCAUAACCUGUAGGUGUUGUGAACGACGUGUUCACCGGUGUGCUCUAUCCCCCUCAUGGUUGCCUUUAGGAUAUUUAUUGCUAAGGAAUCCCCUUUGCAGUAAUGUCCGUCCCGAUGAAAAAUCCUAGAUUAGGUCCCUUAUAAUAGAUGUUGUUUUAGGGACGUAAAGUGAGGAUAACGGGAAUGGGUAAUCAGGUUUAUUGUUGAUUGUUAAAUUAAAUAUUUUUUGUGGGUUGAAAACCCUAUAUGCUCACCAGGCUCCCAAGCCUGACCCACUCAGCUUAUUUGUAUUACAGGAAGUGGCGCAAGAGCUUAAGAUGGACGAAUCAUCAAGUUGUUUUGUUUACAAGUCUGUAUAUGUAUACAUUGUUGAAUGACUUGUAAUGUUAUCGUUUAUGCUUUAUGAUUUGUAUCGGAACAUGACAUCCCGACUCUUGAUUAUGAAAUGAAAUCAUAUUCCUUGUGAAAUGUUUGGAUAAAUAUCUAUUUUAUCAUGUUUUGUUUUUGGGAACAAAUUCCGCAUCUCUUUCAAAAUUAAAAAGGAUUUACUCUGAAAAUGUUUAAAAAACAUAAAUGAAAUUGGUCUUUUUUGGCCGAGAUUUUGGAGAUGUCACAACUAGUGUGUGAGAAAAACCAAUGGUGGGCCGAUUUCUAAGUGUGCAUACUAUUCUAUCAAGUUUUCCAAGUUGUGUAGUGAUUUGUGAUUCCAUUUGAGGCAUCCACAUUAUUGGUGUUAGGAUCUCAAAACUCCAAGCAAUCAACCACAAGAAAAUGUAUGUUAUUCUACUAGUCUUUUAUGCUACAAGUACCCCUUGUCAUGUUAGUUAGGAUGAGAACUUUGGAAAAUUCUUAUUUGCAUGUAUUUUAGAAAAAAUAUAGAUUCAAGUUUUCUAGGGUUGCAUGUACAUCAUAGGAGUGUUAGAAUACUCAAAACCCAUGAUGUACAUCGUAAGUCCUGUAGUUAUAACCAGAGUCUCCUGGAGGGAGAGCGAGAUAUUAUGUAUAGAUCUAUACGGGGUUGACAUCCCCCACGCCUGAGUUGUUCGCUACAACUAGGCAGGCCAAUUUAGGGUGACAAUUAUCUUUAGAAACUGACGCCUGAAGAACGUCAAGACAGGCGCUCUCGUCACAUUAGUAUGGUUUCAACAACUCACAUAGAGAAUAACAAUAUUAUUUUAAAAUUUACACAAAACAUACACUCAACAUGUUUUACAAAGUAUAAAACUAUGUGCUGACUAUUUUGCAUUAAUCUCACCACUUUGGUCUUAGGGUUUUAAGGCCACAAUAUUUCGUAUAACAGAAAAUAUAGGAUUUUCUGUAGACACUCUCUAUAAAAUUUUCAAACAAGGUAAAGAAAGUAUACACAUGAUUUGGAACAAGACUCUCAAACUAUUAUUACAAAAAAUACUGGAGUUUCUGGAAUUUACAAACUAUUACAAAGUUUUUCUUACAAAAAUGCUUAUGAACUCACCAACAUUUUAUAUGUUGACGCUUUUCAAAAUGACUUGUAUUCUCAGGAACACAGUGAGCAGGUUUUUCAGCAGUGGACAUUGACAUUUGUCUUAUUUUUGGAUUAUCAUACAUUAUGUUAUUUUGGAUGUAUUUCCAUGAACAAACACAAAGAUGUAAACAAUGCAUGUUGAUAUCGUUAAUGUAUGAUGAUGAUGGUUGCUAUGUUUCAUUCAUAUUCAAUUGUUAUGAUAUUACAAGAUGAAGUCACCCGCCCCCGGACGUUGUCGCCGUCCCGGUUCGGGGGUGUGACAUUGUAAAGGAAAACCCUAAUUUUUAGGGGCUGCACCCUAUUUAAAUAACAUAAUCCGCCUCUUGUGGACUCCCUUACCACCCUGAUAGCCAUAGAAAACCCUAAUUAGACCUUGCACCUUCUUGAGUGAGAGAAAGAGCUUUUGUGAGCAUUUUUGGUGUGUUUGUGAAAGAUUUCAAAGCCUGGAGAAGAAGGAGCAAGGAGAGAAGCAAUAGAUCCGACAUCUACACUGUAUUGGCCACCAUCGUGAGGUAUAAAGUCGUUACCUUGAGCUCUAGUUGGUUAGAUCCCUUUUCUUGGAAGUAGAUGGCCAUUUUUGGUGCAAAGUAGGGUCAUACUCGAAUCUGGACUUAUCAAAAGGAUAUGGUUCCAGAUAUGGACCUCUAAAGGUCCCUAAUGACAUAAAGUUGCUCACUUUAUCUGGCUUAGGCCUAUCCAUGCACAAGAACAUUGUAAGAAGCUUAGUUUUGAUGCUUUAGCCUUGUAAGGCCUUGCAUUCACGUAAAGUUUGCAACUUUACGUGGUAACUACACUAGGGAAUAGUGGAUCUGGAGUUUGGGACCUUAGAUCCCAUUGAAAAGGGCUGAACACAAAAGGGACUGAAGGAACUCGUCAAGUCCCUUAGUUGACUCGACGAGUUGGGUAGGGUUUACCCGUUUUUUAGAUUCAGAAUGAGUGCAGUGAAGGAUUAGGGUUUGGGGACUGCAUGAGCUUUUAGUUUAGUGGACAUUUGAUGAACUCAAUGAGUCACUUAGGUGACUCGACGAGUUAACAUAGGAUUUAGUGGAAUGGACUCGGAUGAACUCGACGAGUUGCUAGGAUGCACUCAACGAGUUGAGGUCAACAUGAAUUGUUGACCUUAACCGUUGACCUUGACUUUGACCACGGUUGACUUUAAAAGUAUUUACGGGAUUAUGACAAGUUAAUCAUAUGUUGAUUAUAGGCAGUUGAAGAGGAGGAGUGCGUGAGAUAUAUCUGAUCUUAGCUUGUCAGUUCAGCACUCGAGAGGCGAGUCUCCUCACCAUAUCAAUAGAUCUAAGGCACCAAGGGCGGUCUAUUAUUGUUAUGAGUUAUGAUUAGUUGGUUGUGGGAUAUGUGAUAUGCUAGUUAUUUGUGAUACUCACAUGAAAGACCUCGAGGUGUUCCCAAGGCACUUAUAUGUAAUACCUUAAAGGGUUUCCAUGGCCUUCUAGUAUAUUUGUUUGUGUAGUUUGUAUGUUCGUACUCGAUUGUAAAGACCGUGUGGGGGUUCCUACGAUAGGAAGACCAUGUGGGGGUUCUCAUGGCAGUUAGUUAAGACCAUGUGGGGGUUUCCAUGGCAGUUAGUUAAGACCACGUAGGGAUUCCAGUGGCACUAGGUGUAAGACCCUAGAGGGUUUCCAUGGCUUCCUUAUAUGUUCGUAUUCAUGGCUUAUAUAUGUAGCUUUUAUAGCUAAUAUGAUAUGUGUUAUGUGGAUUGUGUGUGAGGUAUGCUCUCGGGAACUCACUAAGCAUUAGCUUACAGUUUUUGGAUUUGUUUCAGGUACAUCCGAGCCAAAGGGCAAGGGCAAGGCUUGAUGGCGCGACGUGCACUCUCUCUCAGGCGUUAUUAUGGGACACUCUAAUGUUUUGAAAUAAAAUUGUUGUUAUCACGAAUUUGAAAACAAUUGUAUUGGGAUUUCAGGAUUUGUGGAAAGUAUUUUGGUAAAUUAAAAAUGAAAAUUUUCUUUUGAAAAAUUGGGUUGUUACAUAUUACAUAGUUAGUUGAUGUAAACCUGAGCUUAGCAUGGGACUCUUAACACUCUCCCACUUCGUGCUUCAUUUUUUUCCAACGGAUAUAUGGAUCGUAAACCCUAUACUCUACACUCACUUUAACAAUAUUUCCUCCAUCGAUGUGAUCAUGAAAUGAGUCAUGGACACCAUUUUUGUUAUCAACAUUUCCCAUUCCAUAAAAAGUCCUACUUAAUAUAUUUUCAUCAUAUAUUAUGUUAACGACUGGUUCAUUGUAGAGUUUUAAAUAAUUUUUAAAGGUAUCUUGUGUAAAAUCCCCGAAUGAGAAGUCUACAAUAUCAUCAUCAAAGUCCUCGUCCCUUACAUAAAUAUUUUCAGAACCUUUGACUUUUUUAGCCCAAAUGAAAAAAUAAAGGUGUUAGUGACACUACAAAACUCGAUUAUGGAAGGUAACAACAUGCAAACACAUCAAUUUCUCAUUAUCGUCUAUGUACCUUUAUAGUGCAAUGUAUUUCAACUUCAAAAUGGAAGAUUUUACAUGCAACAAUGGUGUUAUAAACCAUUUUCAAAACCCUCGUCUUCCCGAUAUCAACUGCAUGAUGUCCUUUUUAAUGCAAAUGCUUAUGCUAAAAGACAAUGUUGAAGAGUACGAAGCAUAUUUUGAAAAUGAUUGUAGUGUAUAACACUCGUGACCAAUGAGGAGUUUAAUUUGUUCUUAACCGGCUAAGGAUUUGAUCAUCAUCUUAAUUAUUAAGGCUAAUUAGAAACAAAAAAUUCAUUUAUGACUGAUUUCUAAUCGCAAUGUAAAGCUUAUAAUUUUUAAGAAAAAACGGCAAGAUUGGUCUCUCUGGUAUUCAAAAAACAUCAAAAAUGUUUUCCGCUUGUAUAGAAAGUCCAAAAUCAAGAUUUUCAUAUGGUUUUGGUCCCAGUAAAAUUGAAAAGAACAAUUAUGCCCUUUCUAAUUUAUGUUUUCCAUUUUUUAUCUUUAUGUUAAUACUUUUUUAAUUUAAAAAAAAGGGAACCAGCUAACCCACCCAUCUCUCUCUCGUGUGUGUGUGUGUGUUUGUAUCUAAAUGGGUGCUCCUAAAACCAUUAGAACACAUCAAGCUUUUCAUCUCCCUUCCCUCCCUCUCACCAGAAAAACUUUAAUUAUGAGUUAAUAAGAAGCACUUUAAUGGUGUUAUCUAAGUUAUAGAGGAAAUAAAUAUGUGAUUGUUGAUUUGUUUUCUUCUGUUUCGUAUUUGUUCUGGAGUCCGAUAAUCAAAGGCAUCUGUGUGUAUGUCUAUGUUUUAAUCUACUGUAUGUAUGUGUGUGUUAAAUACAGUCGAUUGAUCCCCUUAAUCAGAGGGUGCCUAGUCGAUUUAUCCCAUAAUUUGAACCCUAAAACGCAAUUUCCUCCAAGACUUAUUUGGUUUGUGGGCAAGCUAAAGGGGGUGCUGAGAAGUGAUAUCCAUGAAUGCUUCUGCAAAAACAAUUCCUUCGCCAUUAUAAUCAACCGGAAGAGAAUCUAUGGAACUUUUGAUCACCGAUAUUGGAGAGAUAAAGAAUGUGAUUUGGGGUGGGGUGGGGCUGUUGGGUUUGAUCAAACUUGACUACUUCUGUGAUACUUGAUAACACCCGAUUCCCUUUCAACAACCCACCACCCCAUUAUCUUACCCACAAAUGGAUUUAAAGAAACCUCGAUACUGAAUAGAUUCACUCUCGAAGAAACCCAAAUUGAUUAUGUUCGAAAGGAUACCACAUACCAGACCCAUUUAGAAGUCGGUGCUUCCUCAAAUAUUGUUGUAUUUGACCAAUUCGAUUGGUGGGUGCAGUUUUGUAUCUUUGAUUCAUAUAUUACAUGGGUUUCCUUUCUUUUGGAGAAUCGUGGUGGAUGCCAAAAAAAAACCGGAAUGGAUCAAUCAACAGUAUUUGAUCAUGAAUGUGUGCAUAACUAUCAUUUGGCUCCAUGGCGAAUUGCAUCGGUGUAUAAGUAAAUGCUUUCGUUUAACCAGCAUUGCAAUUUCAUUCAGAUGCUACUUCAAAGGAUGCGCUAUUGUUGAAAAGACAGAGAUCGGUUAACAGUUACAGUGAAAACUGAUCAGAUUUCGGAAUCGGAUACAAUCGAAAAGGAGAAAACCUAUGAAUUCGAACUGUGGGUUUAAAGAAAUGCAAUCGGUAAACAAUACAUGUUUUAGGUACAAAAUAAUGAACAAACGUGGGCAAAAUCAAUACGUUUAAUUUCAAUACGAGCUAUUACAUGACAAAGAUAACAUUUUUAAGUCGAUCUCUCUUUACAAUGAGUAAAAUAAAACCCUAAACCCAAAAUCUAAGAACUGGUAAAUUUUGUUACAGCUUUCGUUCCCUCAGAAACAGCAUGCUUUGCCAACUCUCCAGGCAAAACCAAUCUCACCGCCGUCUGAAUUUCCCUGGAGGUGAUCGUGGGCUUCUUGUUGUACCUCGCAAGUUUCGAAGAUUCCUGAGCAAGCUUCUCGAAGAUGUCGUUGAUGAACGAGUUCAUAAUCCCCAUGGCCUUGCUUGAGAUACCGAUGUCAGGAUGAACCUGCUUCAAAACCUUGAAGAUGUAGAUCUUGUAUGUCUCCACGUUCUUCUUGCUUCUCUUCUUCUUCUUAUCGGUGGCACCGGCGCCGGCUUCCUUGGGAAGCUUCUUUCCGGCCUUUGGCUUUUUCUCGGCAGGGGAUUUUUCAGCUACGGCGGUUUUCUUCUCCUCCGCUGGCUUCUUCUCAGCUGGCUUCUUCUCUGCUUUAGGCGCCAUUGAAGGGACUUUUGUUUUGUAGAGAGGGAAUUUGAUGUUUAAAAAGAAAGAGAGAGAUGGC
rnacentral:lncRNA from 1 species